UCAAUAUCUCUUCAGUAAUAUUGAAAUCGAUUUUUUACCUUGGCAUACAAUU
rnacentral:snoRNA from 1 species